AUGCAGGACGGAGAUGCGCACGCGGUAGGAGCCGUGGGUCAUGAGGGUGCCGUUGGGCGUCAGCCAGUUGACGGAGGUCAUGGAGGUGCCCGUGCGGCAUUUGAGCUCGGCAGCCAUGCCCUCGGUGACGUUGAGGUCAGUGGGCGGCUCCACGAUGACGGGCGCGUAGCAGGUGAAAUGCGACUGGUCCAGCUCCCCAAUGUAGCGCCCCUUGAGGCCGGCGGGCGCAUGACAGCGGGCGCAGCACGUCGUGUUGCUGGGCACCGUCUCUUUGAGCCACCAGCUCAGCCAGAGCACGUCGCAGUUGCAAUGCCAGGGGUUGUGGUUGAGAUGCACGCGCUCGAGGCGGUGCAGGGGCGUGAAGAGGUCGUGGGGCAGCGACAUCAGGUUGUUGUGGGACAGGUUGAGCUCCUCCAGCGACUUGAGGUCGUCGAAGGCGUUGCGCUCGAUGGUGGCUACCUGGGCGUGCAUGAGCCACAGCUUGCGCAGACUGGUGAGACCCUGGAAGGAGCCCGGGCGGAUCAGAUCCAGCCGGUUACCCGACAGCUCCAGCUCCUCCAGGCGCACCAGGGCCGUCAGGUUGGGGAUGUCCUUGAGGUUGCACAUGCCCAGGUUGAGGUAGCGCAGGUUGACCAGCCCCUCGAAGGCCGCCUCCGAGAUGUACUCCAGCCGCUUGAGCUCGCCCAGGUCCAGGCGCCGCAGCGAGGGCACGCGGUUGAAGGCGUACGAGGGGAUGCUCUCGAUGGGGUUGUUGCGCAGCCAGAGCUCCCGCAGCUUGGACAGGUACUCGAAGGCCUGCGUGGGCACCGUGGUCAGCCGGUUGUCAAAAAGCUCCAGCGUGUUGAGGCUGGGCAGCCCGUUGAAGGCACCCACCUCGAUCUUGCGAACCAGGUUCUUGCUCAGCUGCAGAAUCUCCAGGUGCCGCAAGUGCUUGAAUGUGUCCGUCCGGAUCACCUGGGGAGAGGGAGACACGGAUCAGUCAUGGAGAUACUGACAAGGGCCGUGGGGGGAUCACCAAGGUCCCGGGAGCAGGCGGGGUCGGGUGGCUGGAUCUCCUGUGCUGUGCUGUGA
rnacentral:lncRNA from 1 species